GUGGUUUAAUUCGAUGCAACGCGAAGAACCUUACCUGGGCUUGACAUCCGAGAAUCUCCUGGAAACAGGAGAGUGCCCUUCGGGGAACUCGGUGACAGGUGCUGCAUGGCUGUCGUCAGCUCGUGUCGUGAGAUGUUGGGUUAAGUCCCGCAACGAGCGCAACCCUUGUCUUUAAUUGCCAUCAUUCAGUUGGGCACUUUAAAGAGACUGCCGGUGUCAAACCGGAGGAAGGUGAGGAUGAUGUCAAGUCAGCAUGACCUUUAUAUCCAGGGCUACACACACGCUACAAUGGUCUGUACAAUGGGUAGCCAAGCCGCGAGGCGGAGCCAAUCCUGAAAGCAGGCCUCAGUUCAGAUUGCAGUCUGCAACUCGACUGCAUGAAGCCGGAGUUGCUAGUAACCGCAGGUCAGCAAUACUGCGGUGAAUACGUUCCCGGGUCUU
rnacentral:rRNA from 1 species